CUAGAAAAGGAGCUUCUAGCUAGUCGCUAUUGUUUGAGAAAAGACCAAGCAUUGGGUGGAACACUAUGAGAAGGAUCCGAAAGCUGCAAUGGCUGGACUAUUGAACAUGAUGUUUGAGGUAAUUUGAUUUUUAAAUUUGCUGUCUUUCUGAUGAACGAGGCAUUUUUUAAGCAUGGUGAGAGGGAAGCUCUGAGAUCUUGUAUAAAAGCUUUGAACUUCUGGGCUACUGAGAUUUGUUGGGAGUUACAGGACUACACCCUCAACAAAUUGAAGGGGAUUGAAGAUGAGCUCAUUGUCAACGUAUCAUUGUUCCAGAAAUAGGCAUUAGUGCAGUAUGGAGAAGUGUAGUAUUUAAGAUGGAGAAUUUCAUUAAAUGCUCCCACAGAUGUCUGCCAAGUCUUCC